rnacentral:rRNA from 1 species
GGGUUGUGAGGUUAAGCGACUAAGCGUACACGGUGGAUGCCCUGGCAGUCAGAGGCGAUGAAGGGCGUGCUAAUCUGCGAUAAGCGCCGGUAAGGUGAUAUGAACCGUUAUAACCGGCGAUACCCGAAUGGGGAAACCCAGUGUGAUUCGUCACACUAUCAUUAACUGAAUCCAUAGGUUAAUGAGGCGAACCGGGGGAACUGAAACAUCUAAGUACCCCGAGGAAAAGAAAUCAACCGAGAUUCCCCCAGUAGCGGCGAGCGAACGGGGAGGAGCCCAGAGCCUGAAUCAGCAUGUGUGUUAGUGGAAGCGUCUGGAAAGGCGCGCGAUACAGGGUGACAGCCCCGUACACAAAAGCGCAUAUGCUGUGAGCUCGAUGAGUAGGGCGGGACACGUGGUAUCCUGUCUGAAUAUGGGGGGACCAUCCUCCAAGGCUAAAUACUCCUGACUGACCGAUAGUGAACCAGUACCGUGAGGGAAAGGCGAAAAGAACCCCGGCGAGGGGAGUGAAAAAGAACCUGAAACCGUGUACGUACAAGCAGUGGGAGCCCCACCACUAAGCCAGUGGUGAACUCCACAUACGCAUCCUUUGCUGAGGAGACGGUUAACGGAGCGAAAGCGACGUUCAACCUCAAAAGAAGCAGAGGGGGCUUAGUGGUGGGGUGACUGCGUACCUUUUGUAUAAUGGGUCAGCGACUUAUAUUCUGUAGCAAGGUUAACUGUAUAGGGGAGCCGGAGGGAAACCGAGUCUUAACCGGGCGUUAAGUUGCAGGGUAUAGACCCGAAACCCGGUGAUCUAGCCAUGGGCAGGUUGAAGGUUGGGUAACACUAACUGGAGGACCGAACCGACUAAUGUUGAAAAAUUAGCGGAUGACCUGUGGCUGGGGGUGAAAGGCCAAUCAAACCGGGAGAUAGCUGGUUCUCCCCGAAAGCUAUUUAGGUAGCGCCUCGUGAAUUCAUCUCCGGGGGUAGAGCACUGUUUCGGCUAGGGGGCCAUCCCGGCUUACCAACCCGAUGCAAACUGCGAAUACCGGAGAAUGUUAUCACGGGAGACACACGGCGGGUGCUAAUGUCCGUCGUGAAGAGGGAAACAACCCAGACCGCCAGCUAAGGUCCCAAAGUCAUGGUUAAGUGGGAAACGAUGUGGGAAGGCCCAGACAGCCAGGAUGUUGGCUUAGAAGCAGCCAUCAUUUAAAGAAAGCGUAAUAGCUCACUGGUCGAGUCGGCCUGCGCGGAAGAUGUAACGGGGCUAAACCAUGCACCGAAGCUGCGGCAGCGACACCGUGUGUUGUUGGGUAGGGGAGCGUUCUGUAAGCCUGUGAAGGUGUGCUGUGAGGCAUGCUGGAGGUAUCAGAAGUGCGAAUGCUGACAUAAGUAACGAUAAAGCGGGUGAAAAGCCCGCUCGCCGGAAGACCAAGGGUUCCUGUCCAACGUUAAUCGGGGCAGGGUGAGUCGACCCCUAAGGCGAGGCCGAAAGGCGUAGUCGAUGGGAAACGGGUUAAUAUUCCCGUACUUGGUGUUACUGCGAAGGGGGGACGGAGAAGGCUAUGUUGGCCGGGCGACGGUUGUCCCGGUUUAAGCGUGUAGGUAUGUGUUCCAGGUAAAUCCGGUUCACUUUAACACUGAGGCGUGACGACGAGGCACUACGGUGCUGAAGCAACAAAUGCCCUGCUUCCAGGAAAAGCCUCUAAGCAUCAGGUAACAUCAAAUCGUACCCCAAACCGACACAGGUGGUCAGGUAGAGAAUACCAAGGCGCUU